GAUGCCUUUGAGUGCUGCAGUGCCCUUCCCAGUACCAGCUGCCCUUCUACACAUCAAAAUCUAUAAAAUAAAGGUCCACAGGCUGUAUCCUGUACAUAAUGUUGAUUUCUGUCUCCUAAACAAGAUUAAUACUUGGCUGAAAAAUCACUUCUACCUAUAAUAUUCUGGCUUUUGUAAUCCCUGGAGACUCUGUAUCUAACUGCAUCAGGCAGGAACAAUUUCUCCCCUUCGUCCCUGAAGCUCAGCAACAAUUUUAUUCCAAGCACCUGGAAGAGCUCCCAAAAGGUCACAAACUGUCUAAAGUUUCAGGAGAGACUCCUGCUUCUUCCAUGAAGGCUGUGCCACUGCUGAAGCUGUGAAAUUGGACUUGUACCCAGAUGGGAUGACAGAAGGAUAUUCUUACUGAAGUUUUCAUGGGUAAAAAAGAGAUAAAGAAGGGAAACUAAAGCUCUGCCUCAGCAUCCUCAACCUGCUGUGUGUGAGGGUUUGAUUUACUGAUCUCUCUGAUUUAUGGAUCAUUGUGAGCACCCACACCAACCUUUGCUCCUGUGGGGCAGAACUGAGAUGUGCACAAACAGCACAGCUGCUUUCAACACAGGAUGAGAAGAAUUUAUAGAUCAGGACCUGCAGAUGACUUUAUUGUCCAGUCCCCAGCUCUGUGAGGCAGAAGCUGCUGGGAAUAGCCAUGAUCAUGGCAUGGAACCAUCUCUCAGAGUGACCAUUACAGCUCCCAGUCACUUUCCCAUUUUCCAUAGGAGCCUUUUGUUCUGGGUAACUAAGCAGAAGAGGGUUUGUUUUCUGUAUUUUUGUUGCCUUUGGCAAGCACUUUGCAGCUGCCUGCACAGCUAUGAUCUUCCAUAGAACCUGAUAUGCUAAAUCUCUUCCACCUUCAUCCAACCUGCCAUGGCAGCAAGGGCAGGGCGUGCCAGGGGUGAGAUAAUGUUUGCAUGAAAGAGAGAAGUGAAUCAGAACCAGGUAAGCUCUGAGCUACCAAGAUGACUUGGCUUACUGACAGCCUGUUAAUGUAAAAUGCAGGCCAUGUUAAUUGUUAAAUAUAUUGGUCGUUCUUUCCAAAUUCUCAUGAAACUAAAUCCACCUUCAGAGUAAAGGAAGUCAUUCAACUUCACCUUAAAUGGAGAUACUCCUAUUUUAAUUUGUGGGUAUUCCUACUACUGCUGUCUCCCUUUUAGGAUUUGUGUGUUCUCCUCCAUUCUCCAGGAGACAGAAAUGCUGGAUGGAGCAUCACAACAAAACCUCCUGGCUGCUGCUCCAGGCUGCAUGUGUGACCUCAGCCAGUUCCCCAAAACUGCAAACAAAUCCCUUUUUUGUUUUGCAAAACUGCAAAAUAAAUCCCUUUCCUGCAAAGCUUCUGAGAACUCAUUCUAUAAUUCUUGCUCCUGUUUGGCAGCUAAUCCUUAAAGGAAUCACAAUUUGUCGCGCUGAACUCCACAGCCUUAAAAGUUAAAAAUUCUGUGACUUUCUCAGCAGCAUCAGACCCAACAGAAUGUUUGGGACAUUCAGCCAACUUUGGGACACAUUCCUUGGUGCAAAACCAUUAAUAUAAUGGAACAAGAGCUUACAAUUCCUGUGGUACUCUCCCCUGGAAACUGAAGGGAAGGAUCACACUGACAGUCAUGAUUUUAAAAAAAAUUAUUUAAAAAAAUAAGCAAGCAAAGCCCAAAGAGGUAAGAAAGCAAAUACUCAAGCAUUUAAAGUUAUAUAAUAAAAUAUGUAGAUUUUAAAAGUUACAGGUUCAA